rnacentral:lncRNA from 1 species
UGCCAGCUCUCAGACAACACUGCCUAACAGUUCCCCCAUCCCAAAGCAAACCCCCACGAUCACGGCUCCUGCUCGCCUACAUCAUACUCCUCCUGCCUCUGGCCCCUGCUUUCUAAAUCUGACCUACUAACCCUCAUUUAGCUGGACGCAUAGCUGCAAUGCUGGCUGAAAUCUUAUACAAUGUAUUCUGAAGUAGAGGCACAGCAAGCAAGAGCCUGGAGAUGUUGCCUUGCACAGGAGGGAACUAGUCCUUGGAGUCCAAGCACUAAACUAGAGGGAAGAUGGACAAGACACCACAAACAAGCAAAGGAAGUGAGACUCACCACUGAGGAUGUUCGCUUGAAUCAUUACCACUGGCAAAGAUACACAAGAAAGGAAGAUGCUAGAGUGAGCUCUCAGAUUCCAGGUUUUUCUACAGGAAUUCAGAGUAACAUGGUCCAAGCCCAUGAGAAACCACAGCUUGAAGCUGCAGUGCAGAAACAUCUCUGA